rnacentral:SRP_RNA from 1 species
CCACAGAAUUUAAGUUCGCAGGCGAGACUUAAUUCCUUUGUUGAGGGCGUAUUUUUGUGAAGUCUGCCCGAAGCACGUAGUGUUUGAAGAUUUCGGUCCUAUGCAAUAUGAACCCAUGAACCAUGUCAGGUCCUGACGGAAGCAGCAUUAAGUGGAUCCUCAUAUGUGCCGUAGGGUAGCCGAGAUUUAGCUGUCGACUUCGGUAACGUUUAUGAUAUGCGUUCGAUACAAAGGUGCAUGG